rnacentral:rRNA from 1 species
UAGGGAAUCUUCGGCAAUGGACGAAAGUCUGACCGAGCAACGCCGCGUGAGUGAAGAAGGUUUUCGGAUCGUAAAACUCUGUUGUUAGAUAAGAACAAGGACGUUAGUAACUGAACGUCCCCUGACGGUAUCUAACCAGAAAGCCACGGCUAACUACGUGCCAGCAGCCGCGGUAAUACGUAGGUGGCAAGCGUUGUCCGGAAUUAUUGGGCGUAAAGCGAGCGCAGGCGGUUUCUUAAGUCUGAUGUGAAAGCCCCCGGCUCAACCGGGGAGGGUCAUUGGAAACUGGGAGAGUUGAGUGCAGAAGAGGAGAGUGGAAUUCCAUGUGUAGCGGUGAAAUGCGUAGAUAUAUGGAGGAACACCAGUGGCGAAGGCGGCUCUCUGGUCUGUAACUGACGCUGAGGCUCGAAAGCGUGGGGAGCAAACAGG